UCUGUGACAUCAUCCGAUCCAGUCCGCACGUGCUUCAGGUGGGAGGAGCUUAGAGUCACCGAAGCGCGCGACAGGUUCGCACCAGCAGGGGCUGCGUUUUUCUGGGCGUCCGAGCAGGAAAACCAGCGGAAAAACUUCCAAGACUGACGGCGAGUCGUCCUGUGGUGGAUGUGGGUGAACUCUGGAAGCUGCCACAGGAUAUUUGCCAUAAGAGGGAAGAGUGAGGACCGCGGGAGAGAAACUGUAGCUGUUGUAUUUGAGCGGGGUUCAUCGCACGUGCUACUGCUCGCGCCCUUCCCGUGCCGCCGACGCGCCAUCUUUCCAUUUGCUCCUCCCCCCAUCGCCAUCUCUGACUGUGAGGACUCUCUAAUUGUAGACUUGGCUGCUCCCCUUCGCUGUAAUUGGCGAAACCGCUGACACCCUGAACAACUGGACUCAUGACGCUUCAAUCCAAGCAGCAGGACACGAGCGGCUGGAAAAAAAAAAUGAAAAGGAAAGAGGAGAAAGUUUAAACCCACCUGGCUUAUAAAGCCAUGGAACAGUCCAGUUAGAGAUGAAGACGGAGGAGGAAACUUGGCUUCGGCGCUACGUUGGAAAAUCCUCCCGGUGCCUCCUUAAGUCCACUGGAAUCACUGGCCCCAGGCAGAGGAGGCGACGUGCAGAUGAUCUGGGAUUAAAGGAGUGAAUCACUGUUGGGGAGAAAGUAUUCAUCCAUUUGUUGAAUCGGACCACGUUGUGUCGGAGAGAUCGCUGUGAUUGGCUGAGAAGAGAAACAGGAAGUAAAGAAAGUACAAAGGACACAAAGAAGAGGAAGAAGAUCUUUGUCUGAAAAUUCAAAGACACAAAUAUUUCCUUCUAGAAUGAAUAAAGUUUAAA